rnacentral:lncRNA from 1 species
AUCACGAAGCGUAGGCUCCUGGGAGACCGGUGGGCGCAGCCCGAGCCCGGGGAAUCCUUUCAAGUUCUGGGUUCUCUUUGUUGCGCAAUACAGCCCUAGGGCUGCACGGCCUCAUUGGCCCAGGGUCCUGACGUCAGGACUCGGCCCUACCCACAGACCCAGCGGAGGGAGGAGGAUUCAAGGCCUGGGUGGGUCCCUAGAUUGCUUUACCUGCUUGGUGACCUUCCGUGGGGAGGGAGCUGUGGGAUUCCUGACAUGGAAGCAUCCUCCUGGAAAUGUUGGAGGUGCUUGGAAUUCGAAUCCGAAGGAGCUUGCUGACUAGCUCAGCCGGUGGGACCCAGUGGGGUCUGGCCCCAGUGACUGCUGUUUCAGGAUCUGUGGGUGUCAACAGAUCUGUGGGUGUCCCCACAACCUCUCCACUCCAGAACAUUCCUCCCCUCCCAGAAUACAGCCUCCAGGAUUGCUGGGCCCCAGCAUGGCCUGCCCUGGCCAGCACUUUCCUCUUAACUGCCCUCAGCUUGGAAGCGACCUUGUUGCCAAAGUAGGAUCUAUCCUGCAGGGACAAGCCACUCAGACAGACCUUGCUUUUAGGGACAGUAAAUGUUCCUUGUCGGGAACAUUUUAGAAGGGCUUGAGAGACCAAGGCUUUGGUGUUUGAUGAGUGAAGUUUGAAUCUUGGCUCGGGUACAUAAAGAUGUUGGCAGGUGAUUUCAACUCUCUGCCUCUCUCUAAAGGAGAUGGUAUCGUUAGCAUCCAUUACAAGACAGUGGGAGAAGCGCACCUCCCUCCCUUACCCACCCGCACCCCUCAGUCCUAUACACCAUUGAAACCUGGGAGAAGAUUCCUAUACCUCGAGCAAUCCGUUAGCCCAGGGAAGCGCUGUCUGCUCCCCGUACAUCUGGCCCCACUCUAAGCACAUUGCCUGGCAGAGAGCAUCAACUCCUUUCAAGAAAGGCUCUGUCAUGCCUGAUUUCUGGAUUGGAAAACCAAGGUGCAGGGGUGGAGCUGGGCUGGGUUCCGGCUUCCUGAGUCAAGUCCACAAUAUUCUUUCCCCUUCACCUGAUAACCUCCAGUCUGCAGCUGAGAAGGCUAGCUAGGUCCAGGCGCUGUUGGUGACGGGUACCCUCUGAUAGGCCACACUGCCUCCCAGACUAGUUUCUGCAAGCAGCACCUUAAUAAAUAAAUGUUUGGGCAGACAUUGCCGUGCCUGCAGCAGACUUCCACCCGAGGAUAUUAAGACACUAUGUGCACGGAAGACCCUUCCCCCGCUCAGGGUCUGGGCAGGCCUGGGACAGGCACACAAAAGUAAGAAAAAAGUAAGCAGACCAAAAGGACUGUGUGGAGAGGCGGAGGCACAUAGAUGCCUGGAAGUUUAGGGCCAGCCUGGUCUACAUAGUGAGCUACGUAGUACAACCAAGGCUACAUAGGGUGGUGACUUUGUCUCAAGACAUUUUCGAUUUUUAAAGAGAAGGAAUUGUAGACAAGACUAUCCGAGAAUGUCUCUGCUGGCCAGCUCAGCUUGGUUUUCCCAGUGUGAGAGAGAGCUGGGAAUGUUGGCUGAGGCUGCUGCAGUUCCCCAUCUGCCCCAGCUGGUGGCGCUGUGGGGUGGGGGGCUGGCAGCUAAUGGGACUACAGGUGGCCUUCACUUAGCCUGGGGCUCUGGAGUGCUGACAGACUGGAAGACGGAAUGGUAGGAGGGAAUUGCCUCUCAGCCUGCUGGUAGAGUAUGGUGCCUCCUCUAACCUUAAACCUCCUGCUCAGCAUCCAAUGCCCUUUAUCCCAUCCGAAGGCACCUGGCAGUUCCUCUACAGCCAAGGCCUGGGCUCUUGGGUGUCUCCAGGCCAACACUAGUCCAUAGGACCGGCUGGGUGCGAGCCAGGCAGGCCCAAGUGCUGGCUGCUACCUCACAGCACCUACUGUGUGUGGGACCUAGCUCCCAACAUGCUGCUGUCCCAGCACAGCACACACUAUGUGAUACCUGGGCCCUAGGCUUUAAAUAUGUGGUGUCUAUCCACUUAGCUUUCCACAGAAGCAGCAAAGCUCUUCUGCAGGUUGGGGCCUUGCCGCUGCCCACAGCCAGUGCUGCAGCUCCGGUCAGUUGCAGUCUCUCUGUGAGAGACUCCCAGGGUGGGUGGUGAGUGGUGGCCAGCUCCUCUCUACCUCACAGAUCACUUGGAGGAUCAGAGAAGGCAAAGGGCAGUAUGGGGGUGGGGCUGCUGGGAUAAAUGAAAGUCUAAGUGUCUGGAAUGUUUUGGGGGAGGGGAUUUUGAAACACAGGAUGGUGAGAGAGCUGUGAGGAGAGGAGAGGAGAGGAUAUACAUGGGGCGAACCUGUCCAUCUGAGGCACCCAAAUCCCCAACACUCCAGAGACCAAAGAGGAUCAGGAGUUCAAGACCAGCCUUGGGCUGUCUCAAGUGACCAAGGCAUGCUUGUCACUUAGAAGGCACCCAACACUUAGAAUACAGGAGGGUGGCUGCAAGUUCAAAUCCAGCCUAUGUCUGUGUAGCAAGUUCCAUGGUAGCCAGGGUUGCAGAGUGAGACCCUGUUCUUAAAGAUCCAGAGUGAGGAUGGAGAGAUGGGUUGGUGAUGUGAAACACUUUGUGCUCUUGCAGAGGACCCGGGUUCAGUUCCCAGUCCCCGCGUGCUGACUCGCAGCCGACUGGAACUCCAGUUCCAGGAGACCUAAAGUCCUCUCCUGUUCUAGAAACAGUUGCGGUAUACUGGCAGAACACUCAUACAUAUAGUACAAAAAUAAAUAAAUCCAAAGACACUCAGUUUUGGCCCAGCCUGGCCUGAGACUGUAAGCGAACAGGUGGCUUGUAAGAAAGUUCAGAUUCAGGGCUGGUGAGAUGGCUCAGUGGGUAAGAGCACCCAACUGCUCUUCCGAAGGUCUGAAGUUCAAAUCCCAGCAACCACACGGUGGCUCACAACCAUCUGUAACAAGAUCUGACGCCCUCUUCUGGUGUGUCUGAAGAUACCUGUAGUGUACAUGUCCAUAAAUAAAUAAAUAAACCU